rnacentral:rRNA from 1 species
GAUGAACGCUGACAGAAUGCUUAACACAUGCAAGUCAACUUGAACUUCAGUUUGGGUGGCGGACGGGUGAGUAACGCGUAAAGAACUUGCCUCACAGAUAGGGACAACAUUUGGAAACGAAUGCUAAUACCUGAUAUUAUGAUUUUAGGGCAUCCUAGGAUUAUGAAAGCUAUAUGCGCUGUGAGAGAGCUUUGCGUCCCAUUAGCUAGUUGGAGAGGUAACGGCUCACCAAGGCGAUGAUGGGUAGCCGGCCUGAGAGGGUGAUCGGCCACAAGGGGACUGAGACACGGCCCUUACUCCUACGGGAGGCAGCAGUGGGGAAUAUUGGACAAUGGACCAAGAGUCUGAUCCAGCAAUUCUGUGUGCACGAUGAAGUUUUUCGGAAUGUAAAGUGCUUUCAGUUGGGAAGAAAAAAAUGACGGUACCAACAGAAGAAGUGACGGCUAAAUACGUGCCAGCAGCCGCGGUAAUACGUAUGUCACAAGCGUUAUCCGGAUUUAUUGGGCGUAAAGCGCGUCUAGGUGGUUAUAUAAGUCUGAUGUGAAAAUGCAGGGCUCGACUCUGUAUUGCGUUGGAAACUGUGUAACUAGAGUACUGGAGAGGUAAGCGGAACUACAAGUGUAGAGGUGAAAUUCGUAGAUAUUUGUAGGAAUGCCGAUGGGGAAGCCAGCUUACUGGACAGAUACUGACGCUGAAGCGCGAAAGCGUGGGUAGCAAACAGG